rnacentral:rRNA from 1 species
GCCUACGGGAGGCAGCAGUGGGGAAUAUUGCGCAAUGGGCGAAAGCCUGACGCAGCGACGCCGCGUGAGGGAUGAAGGUCUUCGGAUCGUAAACCUCUGUCAGCAGGGAAGAACGGUCACUGUGCUAAUCAGCAGUGAAUUGACGGUACCUGCAAAGGAAGCACCGGCUAACUCCGUGCCAGCAGCCGCGGUAAUACGGAGGGUGCGAGCGUUAUCCGGAGUGACUGGGUGUAAAGAGUUGCGUAGGUGGCAUAAUAAGUAGCUAGUGAAAUCUGGUGGCUCAACCAUUCAGACUAUUAGCUAAA